UACGGGGGGGGCAAGCGUUGUUCGGAAUUACUGGGCGUAAAGGGCGCGUAGGCGGUUUGUUAAGUUGGAUGUGAAAACUCUGGGUUUAACCCAGAGCCUGCAUCCAAAACUAGCAGACUAGAGUUCUGGAGGGGAUAGCGGAAUUCCUGGUGUAGCGGUGAAAUGCGUAGAUAUCAGGAGGAACACCGGUGGCGAAGGCGGCUAUCUGGACAGAGUCUGACGCUGAGGCGCGAAAGCUAGGGGAGCAAACAGG
rnacentral:rRNA from 1 species